GUGCAUACACGCAGAAACUGGUAACAGCACUAUCAUGCAAUUAAGAGGAACCAGAGUCAGAGACUUCCUCUGAUUCCCCCUCGCGGAUCCGCGGUUUCAAUCUGUCACUAGCCAGGAGAAAAUCAGCACAGGCCUGCCAGGUUAAUUUACUGUGGAUGAAGUCGCAGAGCGAUUUUGGCGUAUGACCAAGUUCCUUUCCAGCAAUAAAUAACAGGCGGGUUCUAAGGGUGUCGAGACUGUCACACUCGACCAAAAUAUGUUCAAGAGUUUCCUCCGCCCCAGAGUCGCAGUAGAGGCUGGUGGGAUUAUCAAUAAAACCCAUUUUGUGGGAAAAGCUGUCUGUCCAAGUGUGUCCGGACAGCAGACCUACAACGACGUGCACGCUGGGAAUGAUGAACGCAAACUUUUUGUCUAAGAGACUCAUUGGAGUGAGGCCAAAGCGGGUGCAGAUGGGGCGAGAGGUGGAGUCGAAUCUGCUCUGCCAAGCCGCCCACGCCUGUUUGCGCGCUGUGGAUUCAAGUUUCGACAGCGGCGCGAGGCGGUAGCAGCUCGGGAGAUCAGACCCAGCUCCAUCCCUCGCGAGCGCGUCUGCAACGUCGUUGCCGACGAUUCCGCUAUGCCCUUUGAUCCAGCGUAUGGAGCAUCUAUUCCCAUUGCGGUUCAGUAGUGAAAUCAACAACAAGGCCCUGUUAAUCAGGAAGUUGCCUGUCCUGCAGUUGAGGACUGAGUUCAUAAACGAAAGAUUGUCCAGGAGAACCUCAAUAGUGGUAUUAAUGGGGAGCUCUGAAGCGUUCUCAAGUGCUUUGAUCAAACCAAAUGCUUCGGCUUGGAAGACAGAACAGUAACGUGACAAAACAUAACAGACACGCAAUUCAUGCAGGUUUUCAUUCACACACACUCUAUAUAAACCUGCGCCAACUCCAUCAUUGGUCUUGGAGCCGUCUGUAUAGUAGGUGACCUCGGGUGGUAGUUCAGGAAUAUUACUGGGAAGGAAAAAGAAAGGUGGAUACGGCAGAGGUUGAGGAGUGGGAGGAGGUUCAACCGGAAAUUCAGCAUCCACGUAACCAUAUUUUUUAAGAUACAGUUCCGUUUUGACACCAAUUUCCAGGUCAAGGGGGAGAACACGAGAUAAGGAGAUAAGGGAGGAGUUGUUAGUUGUUUUAAAAGCACGGCAAGCUAAGACAAGGAAAGGACGUUGCGUGAUUAGUAAGAGUUUUUUGGAGCGUUCAGAAAGAUUGGGAAACCAUACUAGGGAGGCGUAAGCCACCACGGGAAUAACAACCUGCAAGUACAGCAUUCUCAAGGCUCGGAAUCUAAAACCAAAGUUGAAAUUAGCGGCUGCUGACAGGCGCGGUAGCAUGCCGCGGACCUUGGAGCACACUUCAGUAACGUGCUGGUGGAAAGUCAAGCGGCUGUCGAACCUCACACCAAGCACCCUAAUGGAGUCGCUCCAUUGGACGACCUGGCCAUUGCUGAUCAGAUCGCGCCGGGGCAUCCUAAUGCGCCCGCGGGGUUUUUGAACAAACAUAGCCUGGCAUUUAUUCACACUGAGCUCAAGUUUAUGUAAUCCACACCAAUUGGUGAUCAGAUCAAUGGCGUGUUGUGCCUUAGACAGUUGACCAUGCUUCAAUCCCGAGAUCACAACAACCAGGUCAUCUGCGUUGGCCUGUGGAUAUACACAAUUCUUGUACCCCAGUGUGAGUAAUUCAUCAAAGACGAUAUUCCACAGGAAGGGUCCGAGAACUGAACCUUGUGGACAUCCUUUGGAAACGCGUCUAGUGACAGUGCAUCCAUUUACAGACAGUCUGACAGAGCGAUGGUCCAGGAACGAGCGAAUUAAAUCGUGGACGUUCUUAGGACAAUCGCUUUUACGCAGGGCCCGCAAUAUGCUAGAGUGUAGCACAUUAUCAAAGGCACCUUUGACAUCAAAAGAGAGAAGAAUAACAGUUUUAUGUAAGUUUAGCGACCGGGAGAGGGAUUUUUUUAAUUUUAAGAGUGCGGCGAUGGUUGAUUUACAGGGCCUGAAACCGAACUGGUUUGGCUGGGCUUUACACAUUCUCUCAGCCCUCCACGAUAACCUAGUCAGGAUUAGACGCUCGAGAAUUUUACCUAGACUAGGCAACAUCGUGAAUGGCCUAUGAGACGCGAGAAAGUUCUCACCACCUUUUUUGGGGAUUAAAGCUACAUCGCCCAAUUUCCAGGGAGUUGGAAAGUGUCCAGUUUCAAGACACCUGUUAAAAAUUUUCAGAAAAAAACGUCCGGAAUUGUCUAAUCAGUUUAACACAAACAACAGGUGGCAUGCCAUCACUACCAGGGGAAGAAGAUAAGCGAACCUUAUCCGCGGCCAGCUGCAGCUCAGGUUCUGAGAACAGAGGAUCGUUAUCAGAAGUAGACUGCAUGGCUCUAUGUAAAUUAUUAAGCCCUACCAUGGAAUCGGGCGGGACGCGGCCGAAAUAAUGCUGUAAUACGUAGUCUAAAGUGUCCCGCUUACUAACAGUGAAGCCGGCGCCGACCGCGAGGGAGGAGAGAGGUUUUUUCUUUUGCUUUCCUCUGAUGAAUUGAUAAACACCGCCCCAAGGGUUGACUUCGCACUGCGAGCAGACUCUUCUCCACUCCUCCUGCUUAGCUUUUCUGAUCGCAGCACGAAAUCUGUUAUAAAGCUUUUUGUGAAAGACUUUUAACACACUUCUGACGGCCCCGCGAGCGCGUCUCCACGCACGCUCGGCCUUCAGAGUGGCCCUUUGGAGCGGAUUUAAUUCCGGUUUCCACCAAGAUGCAUUUUUUAUUUUGCCAGGUUUAUUUGGCUUGGAAGGAAUGGUCUGUAUGCAUGAAUGAAACACCUCGUCACUAAGUAAUGUAAUAACAUUAUCUAGUUGAGAUGUGUCACUCACGCUUUCUAUCAGGAACUCAAGAUUCGAAAAUUUUUUUUAAAGUGUGAAAAAAAAAAUUCCCAGUCGGCGCGGCCAAAGCUGAAGUUUACUUCGCUAAAGUUAUUCAGAAUGACAUUGCUGUUAUUGCUAUUGGAUGGGGGAUCGAAGUUGAUGCUAAACACGAAGCGUUUAUGGUCAGAUAAAGCCUAGUUGAUCGCGUUCCAAUCAGCGAUCCUGUCCAAGAGGCCAGCAGGUCACAUCUAUAGAAGAGGACGAUUCGCGUUCCUCCCACGUGAUGGUACCAUGCUCGUUGACCACAUGAAGCAGGUUGGCAUCAAGGAAAUUCUCUACAUCAUUUUUUUUUAUUUUUGGGGGAAAGUGGAGCUAAGCAACCGCGCUUUAUCUGACCAUCUGUAAGAUUCAGUAUUUAAGUCGCCGCAGAAAACUACCUCGUGAUAAUUAAUAGAUUUGAGAGAGAGGUCUAUCCUAUUCAAAAGAUCGCUAACACAACACGACAUAAACAUUACAUAGAAGGAUGGACAAGUUGUUAAUUUCACACAGGACAAACACAGCGUUUACACAGGACAAAUGGAUGAACUUCAGGCUCGGAUUUGCCAUUAUCACCGUUGCUCCCAGUUUGUUUCCAGCGAUGGAGCCAUGACAGAUUCUGUCAGAGGGCACAGGAAUAGAUGGUAAACUGCCUUUAGCAACUGGGAGUUCUUGUAAUAACAGCACAUCCGUUUUUUCAUUGAAACAUUCAUUCCACAAGGAGGACAAACACCGAGGGGAGCGUCUUACAUUUGCCUGAACACACCUGAGCACGUUCAUUGCACCAUUAAAAUAUUGAAAUUCUCCUGGGCGUCCCGCAUGUGCUUACACGCCAUUGAGUUUGCGCUGUGCUUGCCACCACACCUGUGGCAUUUCAGCACAGCCUUGUUGUCACAGGCCUCGGACAGCUGCGCACCAGUGCAGUGGCCUCAUUUAGCCGCCCUGGUACACUUCUUACCGUUGGUGUGGGUCCUGUGACUCAGGCUGCCACAGACACCGCAGGGAAAGACGCGCUUAGCCCUUGCGAGUCUCAGGGAGAGGUAGUCUAUUGUGAUCCUACCGCGCUCGAGUAGAGCAGUCUCAACGUCCUUAUUUACCUCUACUAUCGCGGUGGAGGAAGAUCCCUCUUUUCUAAUCAGUUUUACCAUCCUGAUGUCGUCGCCGCUUUUCAGCAGCUUUUCGACAGCGGGAUGGCAUCUGAUGUCAGCCAUAAGCUGCUCCUCAGUUUUCUCUCCAGGAAUACCGAAGAGAGCAAGCCUGGGCUUGAAUGUAGGGUUCGUUUGGACUUUAAGGCUGCCAAUUUUGGCGGUCUUGACGUUGUCAACAAACCUCUUUUUUCAGAGGGAUUUGUGAUGUGGAGGACCAGUUUUUUGUCCCUACCAGUCACAGAGGCAACACCCAGGUUCUUCAAACUGGGAGUCUGAGCAAUUUUCGCCCUUAGCUCCUUGACAGAGAGAUCAGCGGAGGCCAACUUUACGUGGUUGGCACUGUUACGCAGAGUCUGCGCGUAGCUGGGCCGUGAAGGCUUGGUCAGCUUAGCAUUGACAUUGACUGGCGGCGUGGUUUUCGUCACCGAGGAGGAUUUGGGAGCUGAAUUGGCAGCGGGUUUGGCUGCGGGAACGGAGAUAGCCGCGGGAGCGGGAAAAGCGGCGGUAGCGGCCUUAAGCUUUUUUUCGUAAUCCACACGGAGUUCCUCCGUUUUUAGAUCGCAAUUUUAAGCUUAUCGGACAUUAUCCCAAACACAGUGUGUUGGAGACUCUUUAACAAGACAUCAAUUUGACUGAACAUGGUACCGUAUUCUGCAGAACCUAGUUCCUUUUUCAGGGCUGAAUCUAUUUCCCCAUAGACCACUGAGAGACAGUCAGAGAAGCUGGAGCGAAUCUCUUCCCACCCUUCCCUAAACGCCUGAUUGGAGUCAAGAGGCACUAUAGGAGUAGGAGGAGAGGGAGACAUCCAGGGAAACUCACCAUUUGACGGAAAUGCUGUGGUUACAGGCCUGGCCCCGCUGCCAGGAGGGUCCGUCGCUUUUUUUAUGCUUUGAUGCAUUGCUGCAUCCAGCCAGAGGGGUGUCCAUCAUGCCAGGGACAGGUCCAAUCGGGGGAGGAUCCGAGGAGCUUUCUUUUAAAGUUCUUGCGUUUAUUUAUUCUUCCUCGCCUAGUCUUCCUCGCCUAUAAGUAGUAGAACAAAGGCAGUCUUUUGAACUUCUCUUGUUUUCAGGGGUCGUCUAGGAAUAGAUCUUUGAAUGAAUGAAUGAUCGUCAUCUCCCUCGACCUCUUUCUCGCCGCGACUUUUAUAGUCGUUUAAGGGUCACGUGGACGGACUCUGUGGAUUUACUCUGUGGCGCAUCCCGUGAUGCCCGCCAUCUAGAGCCGUUUUCCCGAAUUAAAAUUUAAAAUUAUAUAUUUCCAACAUAUAUAUUACAUAUAUGGUAUAAACCAUUUUAUUUAGCGUUCUUGGAAUUGUACUUUGACUCGAUUUAAUGUUUUCAAUUUUUCGCAAGGAUAUUUCUGUUUUUGAAAAUAGAGCAAUCCAAAAAUAGAUAUUUAAUUAAAAAGGGCAUAUAUUGGAUCAAAAAAUAAUAUAUUUACCAAGUGUAUUUUCAAAGUAUAACAACUGAAAUAUUGGUAAAUAAAUUUGAUCCAAUAUAUGCCUUUUUAAUUAAUGUUCUUUGACAAAUCUUUGAGUAAUAUUUGUGAAAGUUUGACGACAAUCCAUACGGAAAUUUUAUUGGAAAUGAUCAUUUGAACAGUAAAGUCCUCGUCUUCCGAUUUCUUAAAAAUGGCGUCUUCUUAUUUUUUUUUUUUUUCUAAAUAAUUUUACCCAACACGCGGAGGUGAACAUCCCUCCCUUCGAUGGAACCUACGCCGCUCGCCAAUUCUUCCAGGCCAACGACCGGGAGAUGGACGUAGCCCUCGUUACCACCUCCGAAAAGCUGCUCAGGUUGCCUCGCUACCUGACGCGCCAACCCCUGGAGCUCUUCAGGAAACUCUGGUUGGCCACCCAGACCUACUUUCAGGUGAGACAAACCUUCCUGGACCUCUACCCGGAAUCCAACGAGGCGUCCUUCGCCAAGUACUUCACCCUGAAGCUUGCUGGGCAGGAAAGCCUGGAGGAGUACUACCGAGGGAAGACAGCGCUGGGCAUGCAACUGGGUCUCCCACAGGAGGUAAUCCUAGAGAGGCUGACGGAGGGAUCGCCGCUCUCCGACCAGCGCCUUGUCCGCGUUGUACCUCCUGAGAACCUGAGAGAGUGGUACCAGCUGGUGCAAUGGAUCCGCGAAACUAGCGCACCAUUUUCGCGUCACCACGAGUAACAACCGCCCCACACAACCGGCCCAUACACCAGCACACCAAGAAGAACAGGUGCGUGGACUGCACCUGCACCGCCGUUGAACUGCAAAUUCUGCGGCUGCCAUCACUGGCACUCUGAGUGCCGCCAUAAACCCUCUUCACACGCGAGCGCGCGGGCAGUGUGCCCCGCCCAACAUCCACCACAAGACCAAGCCGGACAAGCCGCCCGAGACACCCCAGCCUUUCUUCAGCCAGGUAGGAAGGCCCCGACUUUUCGUCAGCCCAACUGACGAUUAAACUCUCCCUCACCCCUGAACUCUCACCCCCUUUCCUAGUUGACACAGGCGCGAGUUUGAACAUAGUGCCCUAUAACCUCUAUAAAAAGUUAAAAUAUAACCUCCCUCAACUGCAGCUUAAAAAACAACCCAUAGACCUUCAGGCCAUAAACGGCCCUGUACCGACCUUAGGUCAAAUAACCCUCCCUUUGACAAUAGGUAAAAUAACCAAAAAUAAGAAUUUCCAUGUGGUGGAAGCACCUCUACCAUUCGGAAUUCUCGGUAUAAAUACCCUCCGCAACUUUAAAAUAACAAUAGAUUUUAACCAAGGCACUAUGUUCCAACUUGCCACCCCAUUGCAACCUACCACCUACCAUUUUACUUUUAUACCAAAUGAAUGCGCCUAUUGGGAAUGCCAAGCGGGGUCACAAAUGGCUCACAAGCCUUCCGCAUACGGCACCCAAUACGCGCAUCCAUUGGUCAAAAACC